GUCCACGCCGUAAACGAUGUCUACUAGCCGUUGGGGAACUUGAUUCUUUAGUGGCGCAGCUAACGCACUAAGUAGACCGCCUGGGGAGUACGGUCGCAAGAUUAAAACUCAAAUGAAUUGACGGGGGCCCGCACAAGCGGUGGAGCAUGUGGUUUAAUUCGAAGCAACGCGAAGAACCUUACCAACUCUUGACAUCCAGAGAACUCGCUAGAGAUAGCUUGGUGCCUUCGGGAACUCUGAGACAGGUGCUGCAUGGCU
rnacentral:rRNA from 1 species